AUUGCUCGUACAAGUUAAGGUACAUGUUCAAGAAUGGGUGUUGAAAGAGAUGAUGUUGAUGUGCUCGUGAAAGAUCACCUCAUAAUGACAGCGAUGACAGUGAAGAUAAUGUAUCUUUAGCAUUAAUUGCCUCUCAAGCAGUGCAGAUUAAUCCUGCCGUCCAGCAAGAAACCCAGCCUGACCGUGGUGAGACUUCUGCCCAGCAUUAAACCCAGCCUGACCGUGGUGAGACUUCUGCCCAGCAUGAAACCCAGCCUGACCGUGGUGAGAGUUCUGCCCAGCAUGAAACCCAGCCUGACCGUGGUGAGAGUUCUGCCCAGCAUGAAACCCAGCCUGAGAGAUUUCUGCCCAGCAUGAAACCCAGCCUGACCGUGGUGAGACUUCUGCCCAGCAUGAAACCCAGCCUGACCGUGGUGAGACUUCUGCCCA